UGGGUCGGCUGGACGGUCGCGUCACGGGUUCGCCCGUGCCGAGGAACGUCCGGGCUCCACAGGGCAGGACGGUGGGUAACGCCCACCCGGAGCAAUCCGCGAGACAGUGCCACAGAGAGCAGACCGCCUCGGCCCGCAGGGGUUCGGGGUAAGGGUGAAAGGGUGGUGUAAGAGACCACCGGGGUCGUGGUGACACGACCCGCGAGGUAAACCUCGUCCGGAGCAAGGCCAGACAGGGGAUGCUGACGCGGCUCGCCGAGUCCCCGGGUAGGCCGCUGGAGCGGCACGGCAACGUGUCGCCGAGAGAGAUGACCGUCCACGGGGCCCCGAGCUUGUCGAAGGGUCCCCGGACAGAACCCGGCGUACAGGCCGGCCCAUUCG
rnacentral:RNase_P_RNA from 1 species